CAGGCUGCAACCCGCCCUGUAUGAAGUUGGAAUCGCUAGUAAUCGCGGAUCAGCAUGCCGCGGUGAAUACGUUCCCGGGCCUUGUACACACCGCCCGUCACACCAUGAGAGUCGGGAACACCCGAAGUCCGUAGCCUAACCGCAAGGGGGGCGCGGCCGAAGGUGGGUUCGAUAAUUGGGGUGAAGUCGUAACAAGGUACC
rnacentral:rRNA from 1 species